rnacentral:rRNA from 1 species
GCGUGAGUGAUGAAGGCCCUAGGGUUGUAAAGCUCUUUCGGCGGGGACGAUAAUGACGGUACCCGCAGAAGAAGCCCCGGCUAACUUCGUGCCAGCAGCCGCGGUAAUACGAAGGGGGCUAGCGUUGUUCGGAAUCACUGGGCGUAAAGCGCACGCAGGCGGGUCGUCUAGUCGGGGGUGAAAUCCCGAGGCUCAACCUCGGAACUGCCUUCGAUACUGGCGACCUGGAGUCCGGGAGAGGUGAGUGGAACUCCGAGUGUAGAGGUGAAAUUCGU